GUUCUUAAAGAAGAAAUAACACUGGUCAAGCAGGCCCAUAAUCUUUUGGUUCAUCUCUUCUGCGUUCCCUUUUACUCAGUGGCAGAGCAACAUAAGAGUUCCCGCUCCGCGUCCGCAGAGAUUGGGCGAUCUCACAAGCCAUGAAUGCUAGACGUUUCGGAGCUGCGAUUUUAUUUCCGUCUGGUACAACUUUGUUGUACACGUUGUUUUGCUCAGUAGCUGGAUUGGUGAAGUGUAGAUAGAGUGUCGUGCCACUUGUUCUUCCCAAAUUCCACAAUCCACUGAACCUUGCAUCGUUCUAUUGUUAUCGGUGGCAUGUAGAUUCCUGAAACGGAUAUGAGGAGUGGUGUCUGAAGGAGAAUGUCUUUUUAUUGAAUUGGUGUCAACUCUUGAGCUGAAUCUAAUUAUGUUUGGUCAAUUAUUAUGACUUGAAAGUUAGGUUGAGUGUGAGCAUGUGGAAUUGCAUUCGGAUUUCUCAAACAUAGAAUUACGUUAACAACUUCUGUAUUUUCCCCCUCCCCCUCUUUGGAUAGCAUGCUUCAUAUGCUCCAAGAAUACAACCGAUAGUUAGUUUUCUACAAUAAUUGUUUUCUUUAAAUAAUGGCUGUUAUUUACUAGUUAACUGUUUUGCAUUUUGUGCACGGCUUAUUCUGAGAGAGUGUCAUGAAUGUAAUCUAAUAACUCUAAUCACCUAGCUGAGAAAAUUAUGGGAAAACUCUUUUUUCUGAAUUUUCAGUGGGAAUUCACUAGAAAGUCCCAACUGGCAUUGAAUAUGGGUAAAUUUAUUACAUAUAUUUUUUAUCUCAUCGAUCCUUACUGUGCAACUUUACAAGGAGAAUUACUAUAGGUUAUCUUAGGUUAUCUUCUUAGUUUAUGUCUCUCUUCUUCGGUUUACCUUGGUCUCAGUUGUCAAUUUAUAAGCAAUAUGUCAUGCAAUAUGCUAUAAAAAUUCGCCCUGCAAUUUGUUUUCUUGGUUGGAGGUGCAACUUUUUGAUUCCCUACAUUGAGAAUUACGUGCUAGUUUUUGUUUCUGUCAAACCAUUUGAUGACUUAUAGCCUAUGUGGCUUUAAAUAGACUGCUUUAAAUUGGAAUGCAAUCAAACUCUAGCAGUUAAAUGAUUGCUUAUCAAGACUAUUUAUUUAGUGUCUAUUGGCAUGUCUAUUGGCAAGACUAAUAUUUGGAAGAAUUUAAUUUUGAUUUAUUGUCAAUAUGAUAAAACAUUUAUACACUAUCUCUCUGUUAAGGACUAAAAGUCAAACUCUUUAGGCAGGGAGAGUGUGUAAUGAUCAGAUGAUAAUAUUAAAAAGUUUAACCUAAUAGUAAACCAAAAUUAAAAUCUAUUUGGAAAAUAUCUUGGUGAUAUUAUUUAUAGUCCCAGAUAUUUGAAAUACUCAGUCCUUUUUACCCUUUAUUUUAUUUAUCAAUCUUGAUGUUUCAUGCAUUAUGGAGAUGUCUCAUGUCUGAUGACUCACCUUUGUUUAAAACAGUUCGACUGUGUAGAAAGGAAAUUUAUCCUGUUUGUGUUUGUCACGUGACCAUUUGGUGGCUUGUACAUUUUUUGUUUUAGAGACAAUCGUAACAAUAGAGUUGCCCUUUUUGAUGGUAUCGAGGAGGGUGGCAUCAGAGCAUCAUCUCUUUACUCCUCUUCUCAUGAAAUUGAUGAACUCGAUAAUGAGCAGGCUUUGGAUGGAUUGCAAGGCAGAGUCAAUCUGCUGAAAAGACUAUCAGGUGAUAUACAUGAGGAGGUGGAUAGCCAUAACCGCAUGCUGGAUCGAAUGGGGAGUGAUAUGGAUGCAUCAAGAGGAGUCCUCGCGGGCACAAUGGACAAAUUUAAAAUGGUAUUCGAGACCAAAUCCAGCCGGAGAAUGUUUACGCUUGUGGUAUCCUUUGUUGUGCUUUUUCUUAUAAUAUACUACCUGACUAGGUAAUUUGAUCUUUCAUUCAACUCUCAGCUUUGUGUUAGACCCGAGAGGAAGCUAUUUACUCGUUUACUGUAAUUAAUGCUACUACCUGUAAGACACUGUUGUGUAUAAAGGUUUGAUGUUCCAAACAGGUAUUGAACCCAAAGAGUAAUGUCAUAUUCAAUUUGCGGUAUAAGCUUGUAUUUAG